UACCCGCUGAACUUAAGCAU
rnacentral:rRNA from 1 species